rnacentral:tRNA from 1 species
GCCCACCUAGCUCAAUGGAUAGAGCGCCAGUUUACGAAGCUGGGUCAUGUCGAGGUUCGAAUCCUCGGGCGGGCA